GCUAGACACCAUUUCCCUGCCACUGCCGCCUAGAAUAAAGCAUUGGGUCCGCUGGGCUGGAGAAUUUCAGAAGGGAACAUGGAGAACCAGCUGUGCAAGCUUUUUGUCGGCGGCCUCAACGUGGAAACCACAGACGAUGGGCUCCGUAAGCACUUCGAGCAGUACGGGAAGCUGACGGACUGCGUGGUGGUGCAGAACCAGCAGCUCAAGCGCUCGCGUUGCUUCGGCUUCGUCACCUACUCGACCGUGGAGGAGGCCGACGCGGCGAUGGCCGCCAGGCCGCACGUGGUGGACGGCAAUAACGUGGAGCUGAAGCGAGCCGUGGCUCGGGAGGACGCGGGCAAACCCGAGGCGCUCGCCAAGGUGAAGAAGAUUUUCGUCGGGGGGCUCAAAGACGACGUGGAGGAAGAGAACCUGCGCGAGUAUUUCUCGCAGUUCGGCGCCAUCGAGAAAGCCGAGGUGAUCAGCGACAAGCAGACGGGCAAGAAGCGCGGCUUCGGCUUUGUCUACUUCGAGGACAACGACUCGGCCGACAAGGCGGUGGUGCUCAAGUUCCACACCAUUAACGGGCACAACAAGGUGGAGGUGAAGAAGGCCCUCACCAAGCAGGAGAUGCAGGCUGCCGGAGCCCGAAACCGGGGCAGAGGCGGACGGGCCAUGGGAAGAUCCCAAAAUGGCUACGGCGGGGGAAGAGGAGGAGGAGGAGGCGGCGGCUACGGCAGCUAUAGCGGAGGCUACGGCGGCGGCUACGGUGGCAGUGAUGGCGGAUACGGCUACGGCAGCGGUGGCGGCGGCUACGGCGGCAGCUACGGAGGAAGCAGCGGCGGCGGCUAUGGCUACGGCGACCAGAUGGGCGGCUACGGCGGUGGGAACGGCUACAGUGACUUUGGCAGCGGGUACGGGCAGCAGUCCUCCGGCUACGGGCCCGUGAAGGGCGGCAGCGGCUACUCGAGCCGGAGCAGCGGGCCAUACUCUCGGGGUGGCGGCGGGGGCUACAGCCGAGGGGGCUACGGAGGCUCGUACUGAGAGCCCGGGCCGGAGCUCUUCCCUCCUGGCGCCGCUGAUGGCCGUGUCUCUCGGACCUUCCACGAACUCCAGCCGAGCCCUGCUGAGAAGGGUGCGCGAAGCGGGCACUGUGAUCCAUCCUGCGAGACCUCAGUCCCAGGGAGUCAGUGGAUUGCCUUGAUUUUCCUGUUCCCUCCUUGCCCUGAAUGUCUUUUGGGCAACCGAAAGACAGCCUUGCCAACUCCUGUUCAUCGCUACUCGGAAAUCGUACCCACAGUCCUGUCCAAACCUUCAGCCACAGUGAUCCUAGAAGACUUUGCUCAUCUCACCUCUUCAAUGAGGUGCUCAAAUGGUUAACGAAUUAUGCAUAGCUGAAGUACAGACCUCUCUUCAGAAGCAUAACUUCUCAUCUUGUUCCACUCAGACAGCAAGUGAAUAAAUUACAAACAUGAAGAUCCUCAUCAGGCUACAGGAUCACUUUCAGUUUAUUACAUGGUCAUAAACCAGUCCAAGUGUUCAAGAAAUAGUGAGAGCUAAAGUUGUAAAGUAAGGAGGUAAUGUAGUUGUACAGAAAAUGAAUAAUGGUAACUGGUUAAGAAUUGCCCCACCUGUGAAUGUCAAACGUGUAAUGCUCGUAACUUUUGUCUUAUGCUGCUCAAAAGUAAUUUUAAGCAAUUUUGUGGCUGCGUCUUUUGACUCCGCUAUCAUAUGGGAGUAGUGGAGAAGGAUCUGGACUUGGAAGUUGGCUGUGAGUUCCUGACCCAACUGCUGCGCAACCUGCUGUGCCAGCUUGAUGCUUAUAGGUUCAAGUGUUGGCAUUAAGGACAUGUGUAUCUUGUAGGUUGACAACUACUGUAACUGGAAAUAUUUAAUGCAAGUACAUAUAUUGUGGGGUUUAUAGGACUGUGUCAGACUGGAUUUUUGUAAAACUAUACAGGUGGUCACCGAUUUACGAUGGUUACAUGCCGCGAAACUGGCAUGAAGGCCGGUGCAUAUGAAGGAAACAAUUUAAUCAUGCAUUUGCCGCUAUGUCUUUCUCCUAAUGUAACGCACAGAUUGUAUUUUCCAUGAGAUGUAUGUUGCUUUAGAG